CCUACGGGAGGCAGCAGUGGGGAAUUUUGGACAAUGGGCGAAAGCCUGAUCCAGCAAUGCCGCGUGAGUGAAGAAGGCCUUCGGGUUGUAAAGCUCUUUUGUCAGGGAAGAAACGGUGAGGGCUAAUAUCCCUUGCUAAUGACGGUACCUGAAGAAUAAGCACCGGCUAACUACGUGCCAGCAGCCGCGGUAAUACGUAGGGUGCAAGCGUUAAUCGGAAUUACUGGGCGUAAAGCGCGCGCAGGCGGUUUUGUAAGUCUGUCGUGAAAUCCCCGGGCUCAACCUGGGAAUUGCGAUGGAGACUGCAAGGCUAGAAUCUGGCAGAGGGGGGUAGAAUUCCACGUGUAGCAGUGAAAUGCGUAGAGAUGUGGAGGAACACCGAUGGCGAAGGCAGCCCCCUGGGUCAAGAUUGACGCUCAUGCACGAAAGCGUGGGGAGCAAACAGGAUUAGAUACCCUGGUAGUCCACGCCCUAAACGAUGUCUACUAGUUGUCGGGUUUUAAUUAACUUGGUAACGCAGCUAACGCGUGAAGUAGACCGCCUGGGGAGUACGGUCGCAAGNUUAAAACUCAAAGGAAUUGACGG
rnacentral:rRNA from 1 species